CUUGGGCAGACUUAACACGCUUUCGUGGGUAAAACACUUUAGGCACAUGCAUUAAGCCCUGUUUUCCCAGAGUGCAGCUGAAAUACUUCCUGUUUUUGUUGCUGCUGCUGCUGCGACAGGGCCAUAGACAGAGAUUGUGUGAGUCUUGACGCCAAAGUCACCGCCCUGAACAGGGAAUGUAGGCCAACACUGCUCCUCAGGCACAAUAUUAGAGAGCAACA